GAUGAACGCUGGCUACAGGCUUAACACAUGCAAGUCGAGGGGAAACGACGGGGAAGCUUGCUUCCCCGGGCGUCGACCGGCGCACGGGUGAGUAACGCGUAUCCAACCUGCCUCUGACUGAGGGAUAACCCGUCGAAAGUCGGCCUAAUACCUCAUGGCAUCGUCUGCGGGCAUCCAACGACGAUUAAAGAUUUCAUCGGUCAGAGAUGGGGAUGCGUCUGAUUAGCUUGUUGGCGGGGUAACGGCCCACCAAGGCGACGAUCAGUAGGGGUUCUGAGAGGAAGGUCCCCCACAUUGGAACUGAGACACGGUCCAAACUCCUACGGGAGGCAGCAGUGAGGAAUAUUGGUAAAUGGGCGAGAGCCUGAACCAGCCAAGUAGCGUGCAGGAUGACGGCCCUAUGGGUUGUAAACUGCUUUUAUGCGGGGAUAAAGUGAGGGACGUGUCCUUCAUUGCAGGUACCGCAUGAAUAAGGACCGGCUAAUUCCGUG
rnacentral:rRNA from 1 species